rnacentral:rRNA from 1 species
AGUCGAACGGAAGUUUAAGCAAUUAAACUUUAGUGGCGAACGGGUGAGUAACGCGUAAGCAAUCUGCCCCUAAGACGAGGAUAACAGUUGGAAACGACUGCUAAAACUGGAUAGGAGACAAGAAGGCAUCUUCUUUUUUUUAAAAGACCUAUCAAUAGGUAUGCUUAGGGAGGAGCUUGCGUCACAUUAGUUAGUUGGUGGGGUAAAGGCCUACCAAGACUAUGAUGUGUAGCCGGGCUGAGAGGUUGAACGGCCACAUUGGGACUGAGACACGGCCCAAACUCCUACGGGAGGCAGCAGUAGGAAUUUUCGGCAAUGGAGGAAACUCUGACCGAGCAACGCCGCGUGAACGAUGAAGUAUUUCGGUACGUAAAGUUCUUUUAUUAAGGAAGAAUAAAUGAUGGAAAAAUCAUUCUGACGGUACCUAAUGAAUAAGCCCCGGCUAACUAUGUGCCAGCAGCCGCGGUAAUACAUAGGGGGCAGCGUUAUCCGGAAUUAUUGGGCGUAAAGGGUGCGUAGGCGGUUAAAUAAGUUUAUGGUCUAAGUGCAAUGCUCAACAUUGUGAUGCUAUAAAAACUGUUUAGCUAGAGUAAGAUAGAGGCAAGUGGAAUUCCAUGUGUAGCGGUAAAAUGCGUAAAUAUAUGGAGGAACACCAGUAGCGAAGGCGGCUUGCUGGGUCUUUACUGACGCUGAGGCACGAAAGCGUGGGGAGCAAACAGGAUUAGAUACCCUGGUAGUCCACGCCGUAAACGAUGAGUACUAAACGUUGGGUAAAACCAGUGUUGAAGUUAACACAUUAAGUACUCCGCCUGAGUAGUACGUACGCAAGUAUGAAACUUUAAAGGAAUUGACGGGACUCCGCACAAGCGGUGGAUCAUGUUGUUUAAUUCGAAGGUACCCGAAAAACCUCACCAGGUCUUGACUGCUUCUGCAAAGCUGUAGAAACACAGUGGAGGUUAUCAGUUGCACAGGUGGUGCAUGGUAGUUGUCAGCUCGUGUCGUGAGAUGUUGGCUUAAGUCCCGCAACGAGCGCAACCCUUAUUGUUAGUCCCCAGCAUGUAAUGGUGGGGACUUUAGCAAGACUGCCAGUGAUAAAUUGGAGGAAGGUGGGGACGACGUCAGGUCAUCAUGCCCCUUAUGACCUGCCCUACAAACGUGAUACAAUGGCUGUUACAAAGGGUAGCUGAAGCGCAAGUUUUCGGCGAAUCUCAAAAAAACAGUCUCAGUUCGGAUCGAAGUUUGCAACUGGAUUUCAUGAAGUUGGAAUCGCUAGUAAUCGCGAAUCAGCAUGUCGCGGUGAAUACGUUCUCGGGGUUUGUACACACCCCCCGUCCAACCACGAAAGUUGGCAAUACCCAAAGCCGGUGGCCUAACUUCGCACGAAGAG